rnacentral:rRNA from 1 species
CUGAAUAAACAUGGUCAAGGUUGUUGCUGGCUUUUACAUGUUUGUGAAAGCAUGUGCACACCNGUUUUACCAGUUUUAUUUAUCCUCCUGUGCAUCUUUUGUAGAUCUAAAAUGAUAAUAAUACUCGUGCAAAUAUUAUGCUCUCGGAUUUUGGAAAUUGCUGUAGAAUGUGGGCAACAUUGUAACAGCUCUUUUCUUGCAUAUUAGAUCUAUGUUUAUUUGAUUAUAACCUCCCAUAUGUGUUAAAAAGUAUCUGUCAAGGUUGUUAUACCUUUACAAAUAAUACAACUUUCAACAACGGAUCUCUUGGCUCUCGCAUCGAUGAAGAACGCAGCGAAAUGCGAUAAGUAAUGUGAAUUGCAGAAUUCAGUGAAUCAUCGAAUUUUUGAACGCACCUUGCGCUCCUUGGUAUUCCGAGGAGCAUGCCUGUUUGAGAGUCAUGAAUACUUCUCAACCUUACUGAAUGUUUGAUCUUUUCUUGUUGUUGUAUUGAAAGAAGACAUCAGUUCAGUUUGGCUUGGAGUUUGGAAGUUUUUGCUGGCAAUUGGUUAUUAAAUGACCACCAGCUCUUCUCAAAGAAAUUAGCGGAGAUUAUUACCGAUGGUUAUUGGUAUAAUAAUUAUCUAUACCAUUGAACAUCAGGUUAUAACAAUCUUGCUACUAAUCUAAUUGUUUCUUUAAAAGAAACAAUUAUUUCUGACCAUUUUGACCUCAAAUCAGGUAGGACUACCCGCUGAACUUAAGCAUAUC